rnacentral:rRNA from 1 species
AUGAACGCUGGCGGCGUGCCUAAUACAUGCCAGUCGAGCGAACGGACGAGAAGCUUGCUUCUCUGAUGUUAGCGGCGGACGGGUGAGUAACACGUGGAUAACCUACCUAUAAGACUGGGAUAACUUCGGGAAACCGGAGCUAAUACCGGAUAAUAUUUUGAACCGCAUGGUUCAAAAGUGAAAGACGGUCUUGCUGUCACUUAUAGAUGGAUCCGCGCUGCAUUAGCUAGUUGGUAAGGUAACGGCUUACCAAGGCAACGAUGCAUAGCCGACCUGAGAGGGUGAUCGGCCACACUGGAACUGAGACACGGUCCAGACUCCUACGGGAGGCAGCAGUAGGGAAUCUUCCGCGAUGGGCGAAAGCCUGACGGAGCAACGCCGCGUGAGUGAUGAAGGUCUUCGGAUCGUAAAACUCUGUUAUUAGGGAAGAACAUAUGUGUAAGUAACUGUGCACAUCUUGACGGUACCUAAUCAGAAAGCCACGGCUAACUACGUG